rnacentral:lncRNA from 10 species
AUAAGAGUGGGGCCCUAGUCUGAUAGGACUGGUGUCCUUACAAGAAGAGGGAGAGUCCUCAGAGAGUCCUCUCUCUCGGCAUGGACACAAAAGAAAAGCCAUGUGAGGACACAGAGAGAAGGUGGCUGUCUACGAGCUAGGAAGAAAGGCCUCACCGGAAACCAACCCUCACAGCAGCUCCAUCUUGGACUUCCAGCCUCCGGAACUGUGAGAAAAUAAAUGUUUGCAAUUCAGGUCGGUUGUAUUUUGUGAAGGCCAUCCUAGCAAAUGAAUACUCCUAACAUUGUCUCUUUAAGAGCUCACCAGCCUGAGGUAGGAAUCAUUCCAUCUGUGUUACUAAUGAGACCGCUGAGGAUCAAAGGGGUGAGUAAAUUGCUUAGCAGUGCCUAGGUUUUAUGUAGUGAAUUUGGCUAAAAUGGUAGAGCUCCCUGAUUCUAACCUCCCUGCAGGUUUUCCACCACAUCCACUCACCUCUACAUGGCGAAAACCAAGGGUUCACUCUCUGUCUUCAGGGAGCUCCACCCAGCAGCAGCGUUUGACAGAGCUGUUCACUUCCUCUUCCUGGAGCUGUGGCUUCCAGAGCCCAUGCUCAGCAGUUCCCCUCCUUCUUCGACUGCUCCUCUCUUAGGCUCAAAACCUGUAACAAUGCAUGGCACACGGAAGAUGUGAGAAUUUGCUGAAUAACUGAAUGGCACCAUGUUGCCUCACCUAAGGAUAAUGACUAAGAAUAGGAAAAAUUUACUGUGCAAAGAUCAGUUCUUAAUAGCUGUCUACAUCUCAGAACAAAAAAAAUUAGAUGUAAACCAUUGCACAAAGGAUUAGAUGAAAUUUUUUUGAAAAAUCAGACAUUGGAGGCUCAGAGCCACUCAGACAUUGGGAAGCAAGUUUGUCAAGAUGACAGAGAACCGAGGUAAUGGAUUCGAGUGAUGAAACAGGAAGUUCAUUCAUGAGUUUUUGGCCACACCUCCAAAGUGACGACUUAGCCAGAAAUGGGAUAACUGGGUUUCCCUACUUCUCUUUUAUCAUCCUCAAUGAGAGUGACCAAAUAUUAGAGCUAGAUGGAACCUUAGUGAAAAUCUGGCUACUCGUCCCGUCCCACCAGCCUGCCACCCAUUUCAAGUUUGAAGAGACAAAGACACAUGGACCUUAUGUAAUUACUGGGGAUUACCCCAGGAGUCUGUGGCAAAAGUCAGCUUCUUCCCUCCCUGCUUCCCCGCCCUGUCUCUGGUACUUUCUACCAACACUGGGCUGUUUCUGUGAUCACACUUAAGCGUACCUAACCUGCGAAUGCUGUAUAGAAGGUGCUAAUGAACAUGAUUUAGCUUUAACACUCAGUUUUCUAAAGGGACACGUGGGGGCAGCAAAUGUUUAGGCAAAAACAAUUCCAGUUCUAGCCUCUACUGUCUACAUAUGUGUAUACAUUUGGGAAACGUUUGGGAAAGGGAUAUUUGAGAGCUUCUUUUUCUUUUUUGUGGUUUAGUUAUUUGAUGAUAUUGAGAUUGUUUCUGAGCCAUGUGCUUCAACAUCGGAUUGGGGAUUUCAGAAAAAGUUUUAGUCACUGUGAUUCCAUUUAGCUUCCAAAUGUGUCUCUGCUAAGAGACUUAAAAGCACUCAUAAAUAGCACGUGUGUCUUCUUUGCAGUGUUUGCUAAUUUUGAGUCACAUCUUUUUAGAAAAUCAUGAGAUUUGGUGUCACAGAGACUGGAAUAAAUAUAGUCAAACUUAUUGGUGAAGAUUUCCUUUAGCUGUUUUCAUAAUCCAUUUCCAUUGUUAUGAUUAUUGAUGAAUAAAACAUUUUCUUUAGGUAGAUACUUCUUUUUUCCCCCCACCUUGAUUUAAUGUUUCCACUCUUAUUGUCAAGUUUCUUAUUACUCCCUAAUAACUCUCAAUAAAAUAAUGAUUCCUGGGAGAUU